rnacentral:rRNA from 1 species
UACGAAGGACCCGAGCGUUAUCCGGAUUUAUUGGGUUUAAAGGGUGCGUAGGCGUCUUGGAAAGUUACGGUUGAAAUCUCCUUGCUUAACAAGGAAACUGGCCGUAAAACUAUCAGGAUUGAGUACAUUUGAAGCGGGCGGAAUGUGUCAUGUAGCGGUGAAAUGCUUAGAUAUGACACAGAACACCAAAUUGCGAAGGCAGCUCGCUAAACUGUAACUGACGCUGAGGCACGAAAGCGUGGGGAUCAAACAGG